UUUCUCUGAUCAUUUCUCUCUCUCUCUCGACCUCACCAACUCUUUCGCUCUCUCCAUCUCCAUCAUGGCAAAGCUCUCUGAUUCCCGCAAUUCCAACCGUUCCGAUCGCCGGAACAAAUACCUGAAGCCGAAUCUGGCUGGCCGGAAAUCGGGUCCUCGGAAAUUGGCGACUCUAUUCCAGGGUCUGGGGCUCCAAGACAAAACCCCUUCUUCUUUCAUGUCGUCGCCUACGUCAGCAAAGAGCCCUAGCCCUAACCCUAGAUCUGGAAUCCCGGGCUCACCUCCUACUCCCAAUGCACCGGCGAGGCAUGGUCUCCGGCCACCGUCUCGCCUCCGUGGCUCGGAUAUGCGGCAGGCUUUUCACCGAUGAAUGCAGAAUGCACAAGAGGUGUGGCAACCCCUGCAUUCUCUGUUGUGCUGGAUGUACUACCUGCUAUAUAAUGAUUAUCUUUUCAAAGGAUGCAGUGCAUCCAUGAAAAUUUGGGAUGCUCUCUCUAUGAUUGUGAGUUAUAUUCCUCCUUUUCUAUGAUUUUUAUUGAUUGGCUGCUUUUAAACUUGAAAUCCAAUACCAUUCUGCAUUUUGGUGUUCCUUGGCAAUGCUUUUUUGCUGCUUAGCAUUUAAGGAAAUGCCGAUGCAAGAUUUUUUUGGGUAAUGCUUUUCAUGUGGAAGCCUAGGACAUUUUGCAGAUAAGUUUGUGGUUACUAUGAAGCCAAUAAGGCUGUGAAUGCAAAAUUUGCUAGAAAUGUUGUGCAGCUUAGUUGGAGUUUUCCUGCAAAGGAUUGAUGGCAGAGCCACUCUGCUUCUGGUGUAUUACAGAGUGAUUGUAGUGUUUCAUUGAAGGGGAGAAUCUCUGCCAUGCUUGGAGUUGGUCAAGAUUUGGAUGCAGAGCUUUGGGGACUUUUAAAGAGAUUGGGAUUGGAUUGGGUUGCAGCUCUCAGCUCGAUUCCAACCUAUUCACAUGCUUCAUCAGAGGAUUUGCUAUACAGAACCAAAAAAGCUUGGAGACAACUUGGCUGGGUUAGGGCAUGAUUGUAAUCCUGGUUGCAGAUUUUUCAAUGCCCCUAUUUCUGUUAGAAAGGGAUUUCUCCAGGUCUGCUGAUAUUAGUUAGGUUCUUCUUAUCUUUUGACCUCUGCGAACCCAUAUAUUUUCUCAUGUAUUCGACUAUUGGUAGUAGUAGUUUUCUUGGCUAUCUGUACUACAGUAGCUAUAGUAGUCAUAUAUGUAAACAGCUUCAACCUUAUAAUAUUAUUUCCUUUUUCUGAA